CAGUGCUGAGCCAUGGAAGUUAGAUCCUGCCGAACAAAGUCCUCCGGAUAGCUUACUUAUUGCAGACGCUGCUCAGAUCAGAGGCCUUCAUCCUCAGUGUUUCAAACAAGCUCUUCAUUUAUUUUCUCUGUCAUGCCCACAUGCUGUCUGAAGCUGCAUUAGAGAAAGGUAUUUUCAGAGCGAACACUCAGCUGUAUGAGGAAACAGCAGGGGAGAGAACUUCUGAGGAACCUUAAUGAGGGGAUUUCAGUGGAUUCUGUGCUGCAGUCGAACCCAAAAAUUAAUUCGGACAAGCGGCGAGAAGCAGUGGAUGUAAGCAAACCUCCUGGAGCAAUAAGAUCUGCCUGAUGGGGCUCCUCCAGAACCAGAACCAGUCUCUGGUCUUGUCUCAACCAGAGGUCAUCCACUUGGAGUCCACAGCACAACAAUCAGCUGUAAACAACAUUGUCAUCGUGCUGUGUGUGUUGAUCUUCAUCCUCCAGCUGUGUUUAGCUCUGUUCUUCAUGCUGAGAUGUUGUAGGUAUGACAACAGAAUACGAGAGGCUCUCAAACAGCCGACCGCUGUUAAAAAAAUCCUUGGCAUUUAUAAAGAGUCCAGGGAUCAACUUUAUGAUGCUGCUGGUUCUUCAUCACCUGCCAUGUCAGCAGUGGAGGAAAGUUAUGAGGAGCCCACAGCUUCUUUGCGUGCACCGCACAUAUACUGGGACCUUGUUCAGUAGUCACGUGUCUAACAGUUCAACCAGGCUCUAAACAGUGUUAAUGAAACUGUAAAUGUCCGUUUAAUCUAUUAAAUAUGUAAAGUAUGGAAAUGUUUUGUUUUUAGAGUAUUAAAGGAAUACAAGCAACUGAU